UACGGAGGGGGUUAGCGUUGUUCGGAAUUACUGGGCGUAAAGCGCGCGUAGGCGGAUUAGAAAGUUGGGGGUGAAAUCCCGGUGCUCAACCUCGGAACUGCCUCCAAAACUGCUAGUCUAGAGUUCGAGAGAGGUGAGUGGAAUUCCGAGUGUAGAGGUGAAAUACGUAGAUAUUCGGAGGAACACCAGUGGCGAAGGCGGCUCACUGGCUCGAUACUGACGCUGAGGUGCGAAAGUGUGGGGAGCAAACAGG
rnacentral:rRNA from 1 species